UUGACGAGCAUGUUUUUGUUGAAUACGAUCCAUCGGAUACAUAGGAACCUCCUCACAAAGGAUUCUAUGGACAGUCGAUGCAGGGAGGAGAGAACUCCCUGCAUCGGCGAUUUU
rnacentral:misc_RNA from 1 species